rnacentral:rRNA from 1 species
GACGACGCUGGCGGCGUGCCUAAUACAUGCAAGUCGAACGAGUGGCGGACGGGUGAGUAACACGUGGGAACCUACCCAUCAGAGGGGGAUAACUCUUGGAAACGGUUGCUAAUACCGCAUACCAUCGGCUUUGCCGAGAUGGGACUCGCUGGUAGGUGGGGUAAAGGCUCACCUAGGCGACGAUCGCCAGCAGGCCUGAGCGGGUGACUGGCCACAGUGGAACGUGGACACGGUCCCGACUCCUACGGGCGGCAGCAGUGGGGAAUAUUGCACAAUGGGCGCAAGCCUGAUGCAGCCAUGCCGCGGGGAUGAAGAAGUCCUUCGGGUUGUAAAGUACUUUCAGCGGGGAGGCGUUACCCGCAGAAGAAGCACCGGCUAACUCCGUGCCAGCAGCCGCGGUAAUUC